UACGUAGGGAGCAAGCGUUGUUCGGAAUUACUGGGCGUAAAGCGUGCGCAGGCGGUUUGCUAAGACAGGUGUGAAAUCCCCGGGCUCAACCUGGGAAUGGCGAUGAAGACUGCAAGGCUAGAAUCUGGCAGAGGGGGGUAGAAUUCCACGUGUAGCAGUGAAAUGCGUAGAGAUGUGGAGGAACACCGAUGGCGAAGGCAGCCCCCUGGGUCAAGAUUGACGCUCAUGCACGAAAGCGUGGGGAGCAAACAGG
rnacentral:rRNA from 1 species